CUGGGAAUGGAACAAGCAACCCUUUGGUUCACAGACCUGCACUCAGUCCACUGAGCUACACCAGCCAGGGUCGUACUUCUUGUUUAGGUGUUUGGCGAGACUUUUAGGGAAACUGGGACCAUUUUUUUCUAUAGUGCCUUUUUUUCCAUCUGCUACUUAAUUCUCCGAAAAUAAAGAUUUAGAGUAUCUUAGAAGGAGGUAAUUCUUUUCAAGAGGAAACCAAGGAUUCGGGUCAAGAGGGCAAAGAAGUCAAAGGUGCUGAUUUCUUUUUGAGAAAGAAAUUUCACAUUUGCUUUUUCGAAUAAAUGUGAACAUCCUUUUCUUCUCUAAAGACAUUGGUCCUCAGCAUCGCUUUGAGUUUACAGCAUUAAGCUCUGGCCAUUUGGUUUGGAGAAAACAAGGUGGGCAGAAUCACAUUUGUUUUUAAUUCCAUUGCGACAACUGCAUGCCUAUUUCGGAGGCCCGUCAGAAGUGCUGGUUAUCUGUUCGAGACGGCAGAACACUCGUUAGGCUGUCUAGGCUUCGUCUGCAGGACUGCGCUCUGGGAAUAGAGACCCCACAAAAAAGGAAGAACUUUUGGCGAACCUCAUCCUUGGAAGUAAAAGUAAAGGGCAGAAGUGUCAGGGCAUUCAGCUCACCAUCUCCCGAAGGAGCCAUAGGUUAGGGACCACCACUGUAAACAUAUCACCCUCUGUUUACUUUUGCUACCUUCUGUUUUUCAACAGGAAUUAGUAGCAAGUGCUUAAAUCUCUAUACAGUUGUGUUUGGGGGCUGUGAGGAAUAGGGAGGCUAAUGAGAGACGAGUUCAUUCCGCAGCUCGUCUUCAGGGAAACGGACUUCCAAAAGAUAGAACAGCUGAAAGAAGAAGAAAGCAGGCCGCCUUCUGGUGCUGACAAAGGGGGGAAAAGGUGCCAGGAACCGCCCUUACUCUGAGAUCCUUUGUGGGGUUAUUUGAGACUGCCAGCGGUGUGGAUAGCAUUUCCUGUGUGUGUGGGGGGGGCUGGAAUAAGAAAUUAAAUAUGGCCCUUGCUGUAAAGGAGCUGGCUCUCAAUUAGGGAAAAUACAUAAGAAAACAAGUCUUUAUAACCUAAGGUUUAAUAAAAUCAGUGUGAGAAUGAAAAGGAGAGAGCUAUUAGCUGUUGUGAUGGGGAAAGUUCAUAUUUUAGCUGAGCCCGAGAGGAUAAAUAAAAAUUUGGGGGGGGGAGUGUUAAGAAAACAUAUUUAAUGACACCUGUUAAAGCAUGAUAAGGGAAACUGUAUUCAGGGUGGGGGUUGGGGUGGGGGUGAAGAGACCACGGCAAUGGAAUUUUGUAUUAGCGGAUAGAGAGCAGGUUCAACACUGAAUACGGUGGGCGGUGGGCGAGUGAAGGUUGGUAGUGGAGGAGCAGGGCGGGGUCUGUGGGUGGGACACGAAGAGGGGACAGGAGGAGGAACGGCAUUCUGGCCAACCCAACCUAACAAGAUUCUUGCUGAAGACAGGCCAGGGUCUUCAGACUUCAUUUUAACUCUUGUCCUUUUUUUUUUUUUUUUUUUUUUACCAUUUCAAGCAACCCAUUCUUCACAUAGUAGUAGCCAAAGUGACUUAAAGUAGGUAUCUGUAAAUUCAAUCAUGGUACUCUUUUUUUCCCUUAAAAACUUUUCAGUGGGUUCUACCAGUAAUUACACUUAGGAUAUAUUCAGGAUAUUUCAAGAUGUUGAAUAAUUUAGCUAGAAGCUACAACAACAGUAACAUCACCAACACCCCUGACAUGUAAAACUUCUUUACUGUGUUGCCAGAAGUAGUUUUAGAGCUUUACAUACUAACAUAUUUAAUAUUCUCAACAACCCUAGGCUGAAAAACUUUUCCAAG